rnacentral:lncRNA from 1 species
UCAUAAGCCACUGAAGUUUGAUGCUCAAGACAGAUGAAAAUAUCUGAAUGCAAAGUCUUAGAAAAGGUGUUUUGCAGUUAAAAAAAAAAAAAAUCUCAAGGAAAAAAAAAUAUAUGUGUCAUCACAGUUCAUCACGGGCAUGUACAGAACUCACCGAGAUAGUGAAGGCCUGCCUGAUUGAUAUCCUUGGUGUGGCUGAGCACAAGGAGAUGGAUUUAUUCUCUAAGUCAAAUAUAAAAAUUAGUCCAAUGACUUCUAGACAUUUGUACAAGAGAUCAAGGACAACUAUAAAUUUCUAUGCUGGCAAUGCUACCAAAUCAAAUAUUGAGGAAGUAAAAGCCAAGAGAAACAGUAGCAACAUCUUCAAACAAGACCCAUCCCCAGCAAUCUAUAUUCAGUAGGCAUAGUCUGGAUCCCUGCAGCCUGGCUAUAUCAGCACAUCAACAACAAUUCGAUUCUCACCUUCUGGAGAACUGAAGGAAAUGAUCGGGAACUCCUCUGAUGAUGAAUUCAUCAACAGCUUGUCUGUCUCUGUAUUUAUACUCCUGAGAUCAUAUCCCAGCUCCCUCAUUAGCAUAAAGCCUUCAGGAGUAAUUCUGACUUUCAGAUGACAGGCUGAUGCUAACUCAAGUGCUUUCCCAGACACUUACUUAUUUGAUAUUUUUACCCCAAGUCAAAAUCUUAGGAGCAAUAAAACUACUUCCCAUUUUAGCAACCUUAUCAUACAUUGGAAACUUUGUAAAGCACAACAUUGUCAGUGUUCAGCAUUCUGAUAAACUUGAGAGAGAUCGAAUAAUUACAGCGUAUUUUGUAGUUCCGUUCAGAAUUUAAAACAAUGCCUAAAAUCACAUUAGGUAAAAGCUGGAAGAGUCAUCACAGAUUAUCUAGUCGUUUGCAGUAUGGGGCCUGGCAGCACUGGUCCUUCCAGAGGGCCGGUUAAUAAUGCGAAAUAUCAGAAACCACUGAAAGACCCACUGAGCCAGAAUCUGCAUUUGAACAAGAUCCCUAAAUGGGCUAGUCUCAUCUUACUUAUAUGGAAACUGAAGGUCAGGGAAUUUAAAUUCCUUGUCCAGGAUCAUACAGCAAAAGGUUACAAUUAGAACUCAACUUUUAACUUCCAGUCCUGUGUCCACCCCAGCUCCCCCAGAGCCAAAAGAACAUUUAAAGAUGCCUAUUAAAGGGGCACCUGGGUGGCUCAGUGGGUUAAGCCUCUGCCUUCGGCUCAGGUUAUGAUCUCAGCGUCCUGGGAUAGAGCUCCGCAUCACAUCGGGCUCUCUACUCAGUGGGAAGCCUGCUUCCCCCUCUCUCUGCCUGCCUCUCUGCCUACCUGUGAUCUCUCUGUCAAAUAAAUAAAUAAAAUCUUAAAAAAAAAAAAAAAGAGGCCUAUUAAUGUGCAGACACUACAUCACAUAUGUUAGCUAUAAAGAUGCGUGCCCCAGAGCCCUUGCUCUGAAGGAACCAGGACUAGUGAAGGGAAAACAGGUCAUUAUCUUUUAAGUGUGGUGACAAAGUUGUUCCCGGGCCACUAUGAGAAUAAUGAAAUGGGGAAGGGGGAAUAAUGAAAUGGGGACAUAACUCUAAGAGCGGAGAGAGGGGAAAGAGGAAGUGGAAGAAUGCCAAAUAAAAGGAAGGACAUACCUGAGCAAAGGACUGGUGGUGAGAAAAAAAAGAGGCAUAAAGGAGAAAAACAAGAGCUUGGAGUUAAUAGAAAUACAACCAGAACACUCCUGAAAGAUCAUUAAUUUUUAUCUAGACAAGUAAAGACCUAAACUGCAGGUGUGCAAAAUCAAAUUCCCACACAGGUCAUUUCCAAAUUCCCAUACCAAGAGGAAAUUUUUUAUACAAAUAAUCUUUUAUUCAAAUGACCUUCUGAAGUCUUUUUCUCCCUUUUUUUUCUAAAGAUU